rnacentral:rRNA from 1 species
UACAGAGGGGGCAAGCGUUGUUCGGAAUUACUGGGCGUAAAGGGCGCGUAGGCGGCCUUCUAAGUCGAACGUGAAAUCCCUGGGCUCAACCCAGGAACUGCGUCCGAUACUGGAAGGCUUGAAUCCGGGAGAGGGAUGCGGAAUUCCAGGUGUAGCGGUGAAAUGCGUAGAGAUCAGGAAGAACACCGGUGGCGAAAGCGCUCUGCUAGGCCGCAACUGACACUGAGGGACGAAAGCUAGGGGAGCGAAUGGG